rnacentral:rRNA from 1 species
GUGAGGAAUAUUGCGCAAUGGACGAAAGUCUGACGCAGCCAUGCCGCGUGAAGGAUUGACGGCCCUAUGGGUUGUAAACUUCUUUUGUAUAGGAAUAAACCCUCGUUCGUGAACGAGGCUGAAGGUACUAUAAGAAUAAGCACCGGCUAACUCCGUGCCAGCAGCCGCGGUAAUACGGAGGGUGCAAGCGUUAUCCGGAAUUAUUGGGUUUAAAGGGUCCGUAGGCGGAUCGUUAAGUCAGUGGUGAAAUCCUACCGCUCAACGGUAGAACUGCCAUUGAUACUGGCGAUCUUGAGUAUGUAUGAAGUUGGCGGAAUGUGUGGUGUAGCGGUGAAAUGCUUAGAUAUCACACAGAACACCGAUUGCGAAGGAAGCUGACUAAUACACAACUGACGCUGAGGGACGAAAGUGUGGGGAUCAAACAGGAUUAGAUACCCCGGUAGUCC